rnacentral:rRNA from 1 species
AUUGAACGCUGGCGGAAUGCUCUACACAUGCAAGUCGAGCGGCAGCGCGGGGGCAACCCUGGCGGCGAGCGGCGAACGGGUGAGUAAUGCAUCGGAACGUGUCCUUAAGUGGGGGAGUAGCUCGGCGAAAGCCGGAUUAAUACCGCAUAAGCUCUGAGGAGGAAAGCGGGGGCUCCGUAAGGACCUCGCGCUGUUGGAGCGGCCGAUGUCGGAUUAGCUAGUUGGUGGGGAAAGGCCCACCAAGGCGACGAUCCGUAGCUGGUCUGAGAGGAUGAUCAGCCACACUGGAACUGAGACACGGUCCAGACUCCUACGGGAGGCAGCAGUGGGGAAUUUGGACAAUGGGGGCAACCCUGAUCCAGCCAUUCCGCGUGAGUGAAGAAGGCCUGGUGUAAG